rnacentral:lncRNA from 1 species
GGAGACCUCACCCUCAACCCUUGUACACCCAAUUCUCUCUCACCUGAAGUUCCCCUCACAAAAGCUCUCUCUCUCUUGGAGACCCCGCUGAACCCCUGAAGAGCCUGGCGACCGCUGUCCAGGAGCCUCCUGCUCCUUCUCUCACAGCAGCCUCACGCCUCUCUCUCUCCUCUGGUUCGUACGGCGGCGAGAAAACCAACC